rnacentral:rRNA from 1 species
CCUACGGGAGGCAGCAGUGAGGAAUAUUGGUCAAUGGCCGAGAGGCUGAACCAGCCAAGUCGCGUGAGGGAAGACGGCCCUACGGGUUGUAAACCUCUUUUGUCGGGGAGCAAAGCGAACCACGUGUGGUUCAUUGAGAGUACCCGAAGAAAAAGCAUCGGCUAACUCCGUGCCAGCAGCCGCGGUAAUACGGAGGAUGCGAGCGUUAUCCGGAUUUAUUGGGUUUAAAGGGUGCGCAGGCGGGCGUUCAAGUCAGCUGUAAAAUCGCGCGGCUCAACCGCGCCCCGCAGUUGAAACUGGACGCUGUGAGUUCACAACAGGCAGGCGGAAUUCGUGGUGUAGCGGUGAAAUGCAUAGAUAUCACGAGGAACCCCGAUUGCGAAGGCAGCCUGCCGGGGUGCGACUGACGCUGAGGCUCGAAGGUGCGGGUAUCAAACAGGAUUAGAUACCCUUGUAGUC